rnacentral:rRNA from 1 species
GGGCGCAGCCUGAUCCAGCCUCGCCGCGUGAGUGAUGAAGGCCUUCGGGUUGUAAACCUCUUUUGGUCGGGAAGAUAAUGACGGUACCCGUAGAAUAAGCC